rnacentral:rRNA from 1 species
AUGUUGUUUUUAGCUGAAACUUUGCAAAAAGUUCAAACACUUGAUGAAGCUUAUUGUCUCAAGGAUUUCAGAUUUUUUGGACCUUGUUUUAUCACAUUUUUUGAAGUUUUGCAAACUCGGGCGUACCUACACCCGAGAGUAGCCACAACUUUCCCAUGCCGUAGCCGGUCCGGCAGUCAUCGAGCACCACGUAGAGAUGCCGCUUCGUGGCGGUCUCCGCACCCGGAUCGCCACCGGAGUCGGACGCGCAUCCUCGUGAGCCGAUCAGGCCGUUGCGGCCGAGGGCGGCGGCCAUCUGGUUCACAUGGCGGCGGGCUCGCCGGAGAGGAUGAGGUCGUGGGAGCAACGACCGCCACGCCCACAUCGUACGGAGGGCUUCGGUUUGGAAAGACUAAGAUGGAAGAUGGAUAG